GGGUGCAUAGCUCACUUGGUAGAGUGUCCGCUUAGCAUGCGGAAGGUACCGGGUUCGAAUCCCAGUGCAUCCA
rnacentral:tRNA from 1 species